rnacentral:rRNA from 1 species
GGUCUUUUGUUUAUAUAAAAGAUCUGGCCUGCUCAGUGAAUUUUAAAUAGCUGCAGUAUUUUGACUGUACAAAGGUAGCAUAAUCACUUGUCUUUUGAUUGAGGUCUGGAAUGAAUGGUUUGAUGAAAGAUAUACUUUAUUUAUUUUUAAAAUAAAAUUUAAUUUUUAAGUUAAAAAGCUUGGAAAUUUUUUUAUAGGACGAGAAGACCCUAUAGAACUUUAUUUAUAUAUUUUUAUAUCUUUAUAGGUUAUGUAUUUUUAAUAAAAAAAUAUAAAUUUUGUUGGGGUGACAAAAAAAAUAUUAUAACUUUUUUUAAUUUUUACAUUAAUAUAUGUAUUUUUGAUCCUUUAUUUGGAAAAAAAGAAUAAGUUACCUUAGGGAUAACAGCGUUAUUAUUUCGGAGAGUUCAUAUUGAUGAAAUAGUUUGCGACCUCGAUGUUGGAUUAAAAUAAGAUAUAGAAGUAGAAUGUUAUACUCUUGGUCCGUUCGACCUU